rnacentral:rRNA from 1 species
AUUGAACGCUGGCGGCAGGCCUAACACAUGCAAGUCGAACGAGUGGCGGACGGGUGAGUAAUGUCUGGGAAACUGCCUGAUGGAGGGGGAUAACUACUGGAAACGGUAGCUACUACAGCAUACCAUCAGAUGUGCCCAGAUGGGAGUAGCUUGUUGGUGGGGUAACGGCUCACCAAGGCGGCGAUCCCUAGCUGGUCUGAGAGGAUGACCAGCAACUCGUGAAAUGGGACACGGUCCAGACCCCUACGUGAGGCAGCAGUGGGAAAUAUUGCACAAUGGGCGCUAGCCUGAUGCAGCCAUGCCGCGUGUAUGAAGAAGGCCUUCGGGGUGUAAAGUACUGUCAGCGGGGAGGCGUUACCCGCAGAAGAAGCACCGGCUAACUCCGUGCCAGCAGCCGCGGUAAUUC